UCCACGCCGUAAACGAUGUCAACUAGUCGUUGGUCUCCUUGAGGGAUCAGUGACGCAGCUAACGCAUUAAGUUGACCGCCUGGGGAGUACGGUCGCAAGACUAAAACUCAAAGGAAUUGACGGGGGCCCGCACAAGCGGUGGAGCAUGUGGUUUAAUUCGAUGCAACGCGAAGAACCUUACCAUCCCUUGACAUCCGGAGAAUUUGCAAGAGAUUGCUUAGUGCCUUCGGGAA
rnacentral:rRNA from 1 species